rnacentral:rRNA from 1 species
GAUGAACGCUGGCGGCGUGCCUAAUACAUGCAAGUCGAGCGAACGGACGAGAAGCUUGCUUCUCUGAUGUUAGCGGCGGACGGGUGAGUAACACGUGGAUAACCUACCUAUAAGACUGGGAUAACUUCGGGAAACCGGAGCUAAUACCGGAUGAUAUUUUGAACCGCAUGGUUCAAAAGUGAAAGACGGUCUUGCUGUCACUUAUAGAUGGAUCCGCGCUGCAUUAGCUAGUUGGUAAGGUAACGGCUUACCAAGGCAACGAUGCAUAGCCGACCUGAGAGGGUGAUCGGCCACACUGGAACUGAGACACGGUCCAGACUCCUACGGGAGGCAGCAGUAGGGAAUCUUCCGCAAUGGGCGAAAGCCUGACGGAGCAACGCCGCGUGAGUGAUGAAGGUCUUCGGAUCGUAAAACUCUGUUAUUAGGGAAGAACAUAUGUGUAAGUAACUGUGCACAUCUUGACGGUACCUAAUCAGAAAGCCACGGCUAACUACGUGCCAGCAGCCGCGGUAAUACGUAGGUGGCAAGCGUUAUCCGGAAUUAUUGGGCGUAAAGCGCGCGUAGGCGGUUUUUUAAGUCUGAUGUGAAAGCCCACGGCUCAACCGUGGAGGGUCAUUGGAAACUGGAAAACUUGAGUGCAGAAGAGGAAAGUGGAAUUCCAUGUGUAGCGGUGAAAUGCGCAGAGAUAUGGAGGAACACCAGUGGCGAAGGCGACUUUCUGGUCUGUAACUGACGCUGAUGUGCGAAAGCGUGGGGAUCAAACAGGAUUAGAUACCCUGGUAGUCCACGCCGUAAACGAUGAGUGCUAAGUGUUAGGGGGUUUCCGCCCCUUAGUGCUGCAGCUAACGCAUUAAGCACUCCGCCUGGGGAGUACGACCGCAAGGUUGAAACUCAAAGGAAUUGACGGGGACCCGCACAAGCGGUGGAGCAUGUGGUUUAAUUCGAAGCAACGCGAAGAACCUUACCAAAUCUUGACAUCCUUUGACAACUCUAGAGAUAGAGCCUUCCCCUUCGGGGGACAAAGUGACAGGUGGUGCAUGGUCGUCGUCAGCUCGUGUCGUGAGAUGUUGGGUUAAGUCCCGCAACGAGCGCAACCCUUAAGCUUAGUUGCCAUCAUUAAGUUGGGCACUCUAAGUUGACUGCCGGUGACAAACCGGAGGAAGGUGGGGAUGACGUCAAAUCAUCAUGCCCCUUAUGAUUUGGGCUACGCACGUGCUACAAUGGACAAUACAAAGGGCAGCGAAACCGCGAGGUCAAGCAAAUCCCAUAAAGUUGUUCUCAGUUCGGAUUGUAGUCUGCAACUCGACUACAUGAAACUGGAAUCGCUAGUAAUCGUAGAUCAGCAUGCUACGGUGAAUACGUUCCCGGGUCU